AGGAGAUCUGGAUAGAGAAAAACUGUGCCCGAGGUCUUGAAUAUACGUUUUCAACGUCAAGUGCACGGUUUUCUCCUAUUCGUAUGUACUUUAGGAAGGAGGGCGAAAUUAAAUCUCAACUCAAGCACGCAGGGCUACCGCCAAUCAUAUUCAAGACAGAGAGCGAGUCCUCAGUGUCAAGAAACCAAGCUUGGGCUACCUGUGAUCUUACAACUAAGACAUACCAUGGGCUUCCUGUGGUACUGAGCACGUGUACCCAUCAUGCUCCAGGGUCUCUUUGACAAGAAGAAACAAGAUGGCGGGUGGAGUGAAGCUUCGAAGUGUGGACACAAACUUCGACCAUUACACGGGUCUCUGAAAAGAAGAAACAAGAUGGCGUGUAGGGUGAAGCUUCAAGGUGUCGACACAAACUUCGACCAUUACACGUUGGAUCAUCAAGGAUAAGAAGGCUAGCUGAAUCUAUAAGUGUUAGUUUUAGAUGUUAUUUAGUUAAAUUGCACAAGCGAAAACAAUUUCCUUUGAAUUGAUUGAGCACCAGUGUAAUUUUACUAAAUACUUAUUCACCAAUUAUUGAGUGGAUUCUGGUUGAUAUUUGCCUCAAAUAUUGGCUGAUCUUCACUUUGUCUUUGGAGAAUAAUCUUUAAUUAUUAAAUAUAUCUACAUAUAAUGCUUUGUUGUAUGUAGAUUUGUUUUCACCACUUUAAGAAUAAGAACUCAAACUAUCAAAGGUUGUGCAAGCUUUUCGUUACAAAUGAAAAGUGACCACAUCUUUUGAAUUUUCUUACAAUUUACUAAAUGCUGGUAACUUAUGCACAUAUAAUGUCUCCUUUGGACCUGAUGACUGGCUGGCUUGGAUUGACUCUACAUAUUAUGAUAUAUAUUUGAUUGAUGUAUGAUUUUGAUUGUCUUUUAUUGCAUUUGACUAAUAUUUUUUGAUCUUUAUUUGUCUCACUUUGAAUGAUUCAUUUUACAUUUGAUUAUUGAUGUACCAGAAAAAGUUUCUUUCAAAAUUUUGUAUAUUCUAUUCAAACUACUUCUAAAUUUUUUUUCCCAGAGACAAGCAAUAAUUUAAGAUACAUUUUUAAGUAUUUUGAAUUUGAGUUAGAAUAUUUUCAUUGCUCUAAGUCCUUUGCUUUAAUUUUUUUCCAUCCUUCUUUUUGCUUUUGAAUCAGAUUUGGCAAAUUCCAAGAAUCCGAAAUUUGGAAAUAAGCUUUUUCCUCAACAAUUUCUUUGUUUGACAUGUUUACAGUUUGUACAGUAUUCUCACGCUGUACUAAAAAAUUCUGUGAUUCUAAAUGUCUUUUUUUUUAAUUAAAGGAAAAAACAAUCUCUUUUUAUCUUUUCAUUUGGUUCAUUGAUUUUAGUCAUUCUGCAACCAUAGUAAGUGAGAGGAUACUGUAUACAUCAUGAUGAUUGUUAUUCUCAUUGWUGCAUUUGAUGAUACAGUAGAACCCCACUAUCUUKUCCUUGUUAUCGUUACUCAAUGAUCAAGAGAAUCAAAAAAAGGUUUUCGUACCUUUACAUACUCUUAUAAAUUGUAUUUCCUGAUUUUCAUGUUGCGACUGUUCUCUCAAUCAGCUUGUAGCAACUAAGACAGUGAUAACCAAAUUCAUGAUCAAUCAGCUGCACUUGACAUUUUUAAAUGUUAUUAUUGGCUUUCAAUUUAUCCUUUGARCAUAUUAGAUGAGAUAGUGUGGUUCUACUUUCUUUGAUUACCAUAUAUAAUGAUGCUUUAAUAAAGAUUUGCUUGCUACAUUCUGCACUCCUGGCUCACUCCCUUUAACACGGUAAGUCAAGUGCAUAAUUUACCAGCAUUAAGUCUUGUAUUUUUCCACCAAUGUCCUCUUUUAUCAUCCAAUUACUUUUCUGAAUCUCUUACAUUGCUAUUUAAAAAUAUGGUAGACCAUGUAUUUUGCUAUUGCAUUUAUUUCAAAUWACUCAGAGGAUGUUGGUUGGAAGGUGCAAUUUUCUAAAUUACUUUUCUCCGACA